UUGACCUCAAAUCAGGUAGGACUACCCGCUGAACUUAAGCAUAUCAAUAAGCGGAGGAAAAGAAACUAACAAGGAUUCCCCUAGUAACUGCGAGUGAAGCGGGAAAAGCUCAAAUUUAAAAUCUGAUGGUCUUUAUGGCCUUCCGAGUUGUAAUCUAGAGAAGUGCUAUCCGCGCUGGACCGUGUACAAGUCUCCUGGAACGGAGCGUCAUAGAGGGUGAGAAUCCCGUCUUUGCCACGGACUACCAGGGCUUAUGUGAUGCGCUCUCAAAGAGUCGAGUUGUUUGGGAAUGCAGCUCUAAAUGGGUGGUAAAUUCCAUCUAAAGCUAAAUAUUGGCGAGAGACCGAUAGCGAACAAGUACCGUGAGGGAAAGAUGAAAAGAACUUUGGAAAGAGAGUUAAACAGUACGUGAAAUUGUUGAAAGGGAAACGCUUGAAGUCAGUCGCGUUUACCAGGAAUCAGCCUUGCUUUUGCUUGGCGCACUUUCUGGUUAACGGGUCAGCAUCAAUUUUGAUCGGUGGAUAAAGGUCAGGAGAAGGUGGCAUCUUCGGAUGUGUUUAUAGCUCUUGGUCGCAUACAUCGGUUGGGAUUGAGGAACUCAGCACGCCGCAAGGCCGGGUGUUUACACCACGUUUACGUGCUUAGGAUGUUGGCAUAAUGGCUUUAAUCGACCCGUCUG
rnacentral:rRNA from 1 species